rnacentral:lncRNA from 1 species
GGAACGCAAAUAGAACCCGUGAAGCAAGUCUGGCCAAAGACCCGAUAACAGAAACUAAAACCCAUCUGUGUGAGGCCCACGUUCCUACACAGGGACAGCGAGGGCCAAUCUGUCGCAUUUCUGUGCAUUGACAAAGGUAUGACCAUGGCUUCUUAGAUAAUAUUCUGUGGUUCUGUAUCGAUAAAGGCAAGUGGGCAGAAGCAAAUACUUUAACAAGACUGUAAGUCAUCAGUUGUUACUCAAGACAUCUCAACAUUUGGAGGAAGGAAAAAAUCUUCCUGGUGACAAGAAUUUAUAACCGUUCCCAGACGGCAGCCUCAUGGGGCGUACAGUCCCUGCAGCACUACUGGAAGGUGGAGGGUGAGCUGAUGUCACUGCGUUUGUGGUUUCAGGGUGCCUGUGUCCAUUUGGAGGGUUCUUCUGUGGAGAAGCAAGGCGUUGCUCAAUAGACAGGUCCUUUAGUUCCAGCUUUUCUGCACUUUCUUCUUUACUGUGCCGUGGAGAUAAAUUUAGCAAGCUGAGGACAUCUUUCUUAGAAGUCAUUGUUCCAGGUGCUCCUCGGAGAAUCUUUAUCGGGCCACUGGAGUGCUGGGGAGUGUUCUGCCAGAACAUCUUUAAGUUGUGAAUCGCUUGCACUUUCUCAUCAAUGGCAGCCAUUUUCAGUUUGUCUAUGUCUGGAGCAUCAGCUGGACUAGAGCGAGCAGAACCGGUGGAGGAGUAAGAAAGAGCUGGAGAUGGAGUGCUGCCAGCAGGAGACUGAUGCCCUGAGCUUGGGGAGAUAUUUCUGGGUGAUUUAGAAAUAUGAGCACUGUAAGGAGAGCUGGGGUACUUGAGCUUAAAGUGUGGCUGCUCAGUUAAGGACCCAUGUGAAUCACAACUUGGAGAUGGCUGCCCGCUGUACUGGCCCGUGCCUUCUUUGUUUGACAUCUCCGAUGCUGUGGGGCUAUUAUAGCCAGAACUGACUUUCUGAAGGGAUGAACUCCUUGUUGGAGGCUUUGGUUUAAUUGCAAGAGGUGAAGACUGAUUUUUCUGACUCGAGCUGAUUGGCCUGCUGAACGCACUGGUCUCUGAUGAUUUGAAUGCAGACAUACCUGCUGGUGUGGAAGCUGCAUCAUCUGAAUUUUUGCUCUUACUUAUUUGACUGCUGCUUCUCUGAAGGCGUUCAACAGCAAUGAGGUGACUCUGAGUUUCCUCCAGGAUUUUCUGGGCCAACUCUUGAGGAUCAAGCUUUGGAUUACUCUCCUCUUGGGAUUUGACAGUGCUGUCAGUCUCAGUACUAGACUGGUCAGAUUCCCCAGUAUCAGAACUUGCAAGUUUUCCAACUUUUUGGAAAGGAAUGGCCCUGAAAAACAGAGACCAUGGAGUUUACUAAAUGAGGUCUGGG